CCCAAAGGUAGGAUAAUCCUUACCUGUUCCUCCUCCUCAGGGUGGAGUGCAGCGAGAAAAUGAUGAGCUGAGCCCACAUGACCCACGAUUAACGCCUCCUGGCAGUCUGGGUCUGCAACAUCCCUAUUGCUCCUAUCUGAU